GACGAACCGUGCGAACGUUGUUCGGAAUCACUGGGCUUAAAGCGCACGUAGGCGGCUUGGUAAGUUGGGUGUGAAAUCCCGGGGCUCAACCUCGGAAUUGCCUUCAAGACUGCUUGGCUUGAGUUCGGAAGAGGUGAGUGGAAUUCCCAGUGUAGAGGUGAAAUUCGUAGAGAUUGGGAAGAACACCAGUGGCGAAGGCGGCUCACUGGUCCGAUACUGACGCUGAGGUGCGAAAGCGUGGGGAGCAAACAGG
rnacentral:rRNA from 1 species